rnacentral:rRNA from 1 species
AACGAACGCUGGCGGCAUGCCUAACACAUGCAAGUCGAACGAUGCCUUCGGGCAUAGUGGCGCACGGGUGCGUAACGCGUGGGAAUCUGCCUUUCGGUUCGGAAUAACUCAGGGAAACUUGAGCUAAUACCGGAUAACGUCGCAAGACCAAAGAUUUAUCACCGAAAGAUGAGCCCGCGUAGGAUUAGCUAGUUGGUGAGGUAAAGGCUCACCAAGGCGACGAUCCUUAGCUGGUCUGAGAGGAUGAUCAGCCACACUGGGACUGAGACACGGCCCAGACUCCUACGGGAGGCAGCAGUGGGGAAUAUUGGACAGUGGGCGAAAGCCUGAUCCAGCAAUGCCGCGUGAGUGAUGAAGGCCUUAGGGUUGUAAAGCUCUUUUACCCGGGAAGAUAAUGACGGUACCGGGAGAAUAAGCCCCGGCUAACUCCGUG